rnacentral:tRNA from 2 species
GAAAUAUUAAGUCUAAAAGAGAGGUUUCUAACCUUUUCUUUAAGUGGUUAAAUUCCAUUUAUAUUUCA